UACACUCCUGCGGGAGGCAGCAGUGGGGAAUUUUGGACAAUGGGGGCAACCCUGAUCCAGCAAUGCCGCGUGAGUGAAGAAGGCCUUCGGGUUGUAAAGCUCUUUUGUCAGGGAAGAAACGGUGGUGGCGAAUAACUACUACUACUGACGGUACCUGAAGAAUAAGCACCGGCUAACUACGUGCCAGCAGCCGCGGUAAUACGUAGGGUGCAAGCGUUAAUCGGAAUUACUGGGCGUAAAGCGUGCGCAGGCGGUUGUGUAAGUCAGAUGUGAAAUCCCCGGGCUCAACCUGGGAAUUGCAUUUGAGACUGCACGGCUAGAGUGUGUCAGAGGGGGGUAGAAUUCCACGUGUAGCAGUGAAAUGCGUAGAUAUGUGGAGGAAUACCGAUGGCGAAGGCAGCCCCCUGGGAUAACACUGACGCUCAUGCACGAAAGCGUGGGGAGCAAACAGGAUUAGAUACCCCGGUAGUCCCAU
rnacentral:rRNA from 1 species